rnacentral:lncRNA from 1 species
CACAGCCCAUGCUCUACCCCCUUCCCCUCACACUCCGCCUGACCCCAUCAAGGGACAAAACCGCCUUCAAGGCAGUGUUAGAAGGGAUAUUGCCAACCCCAAACUCAUCUCUGUGGUUCUGUUUCCAUCCUGGCUUGCCACAUUUGCCACCAUCGCAGCCCCUGAGCAGCAUCUCUAUCCAGGUGACAGCACCAGAAUGGCCUCCACCAGUGUUGAUGCCCACCCAAACUCGAGCAGGGUUGGAUACCACAAGCUCAGCGCACACAGCAAUGGUCAGAAAGCAUUUAUUACCUCAGAAUCCCCAGUGGGAGUUCCCCAAUAGUUUUCUGAGUGAGGGACUACCAGAGUGAAGUAGUGUUCUGCUAGUGGUAUCAAUAGGCCACUUUACUCCAAAGUGCUUGGCAGUAGACAGACAGUUUUCAAGACAUUUCUGAAGCACGGGAGGAUGGAAGGGCACCACAGGCAAUGAGAGAAGGGAAGAGACCACAGAGAUGAUAGAAGCUCUUGGUCAUUGAGCAGGAGCAACAAAAUGUACCACUCUCCCAUCUGUGUAUUUAUUAUAAAAUUUCCACACUUUGCUCAAGUAAAGAGGAAGAUGAUUGAAUCUGAUGGGAUUGGUUAGUUGGUGAGGUUUGCAAGAGGAUUCUUAUUCACAGUUGUAUGAAUGAUUGACAUUUUGAGUAUGUUUAAU